UACAGAGGUCUCAAGCGUUGUUCGGAUUCAUUGGGCGUAAAGGGUGCGUAGGCGGCGCGGUAAGUCGGGUGUGAAAUCUCGGAGCUUAACUCCGAAACUGCAUUCGAUACUGCCGUGCUUGAGGACUGGAGAGGAGACUGGAAUUUACGGUGUAGCGGUGAAAUGCGUAGAUAUCGUAAGGAACACCUGUGGCGAAAGCGGCGCACUGGACCACAACUGACGCUGAGGCGCGAAAGCUAGGGGAGCAAACAGG
rnacentral:rRNA from 1 species